AAACCCAAACCCGCCACCCCAACCCUAUGCCCUUCUCUUCAGUUUCAGAGAUAGAUGCGUGCGUGCGAGUGUGAAUUUUUGGCAUCAGAAACGAGGGUUGAAAAAAAGGGAUAGAGAGAGAGAGAGAGAGAGAGAGACACUGGAUAGGGAAAAGACUGAAGAGGGGUUUGAGGGUUUCGUCAGGAACGAGGGGCAAGGAAGAGUAGUAACUAUGAUGAUCCUUUGAUCCUUCCAACUAUAUAUGCCCUAUUUGCCCCACUUCCCCGAUUGCACAGAAAGAUAAUGGAAUGAACCAUCUAAUCCAAUCUGAUUAAUUUAUUAUUUGUCUCUGGUCUCUUUGAGUCUUAAGCCUCUCUUCUUCCUCUUCUUCUUCACUUUUCAAUUGAUUACACCCAUCAACCUCCACCACCCUUGCUCCUGUCUCUCUCUCUCUCUCUCUCUCUCUCUCUCAUUCUCAUUUACUGUGCUGCUUUCCUCGCAUCUUAAAUAAACCCAUCUGCCUCAUCUAUCUCUGUUGUCCAAAAAAUUGUUACUACACCAUCCAUGGCCUUUUUUCUAUGUGUUUGUGUCGUCCUGCGGUGGUGAAUACAAGGGACAGUUUUGGCUUUCAUGGGGGUUUAAUAAAGGGUUACUUACAGAGUUUAUUGGCAUUCUGUCCACCUCCCCUCUAUAGAAAUCUCCUCUCUUUCGGAUAUGGAGGUGGGCAUACUGCCAACUGAGCUCUGUUGGUCUCUCUUUGUAAAACCCUCGUGAUCAUGUAUCCUUCAGUUGAUUACUCGGUUCUCUCUCCCCUGUGAGACUGAUCGAGGAGAGGAGGGAAAUAGUGGAAAGAAAGGACUAUAUAUAUACCUAUAUAUCUUAAAAGGUACUUCCUUUUAUCAUCUAAAGUAUUGCUGCAAUUUUUCAAUUAUCUGCGAAAUAUUGUUCAUAUAAAGUUUUAAGCAACAUCAUGCACAAGUCUUCAGUUUGGUUUUUCACUUUCUCUAGAUCUUCGUAUGUGGAUUCUAGUUGGGAACUUCCUUUUACCAUCUUUUUCUUUUCCCUUUUCUUUUCAGUUUCUGGUUUUGUUUGUUUCCUUCUAAUUCAUCAAACAGUACAUGCAUAAUCUGCUUUCGUUUAUGUCUCUUCCGAUCUAGGGUUUUAUCUGUCUUUUUCUUUUCUUGCUCCAAGUCAGGGAAUUAGGGCUCAAGAUUGAAAUGGAUUCGAGGGUAUGAACUAUGAAGGUCUAGUCUUUACUUCUUAAGUCGAAAAUCUGUUCGUGAAGGCCAAAACUGCGUGACUCCAUGACAAGGGUUUUUGGAUUAAAGCUGUUAAUUUGUAAAUAGUCUUAUCAUCUGUACUUGUGUAUGUUAAUUAUUAGAUGGCAAUCAAAGGUGGAGAUUUUAUUGUUCA